UACGUAGGGGGCGAGCGUUGUCCGGAUUUAUUGGGCGUAAAGAGCGUGUAGGCGGCCAGGUAGGUCUGCUGUGAAAACUCGAGGCUCAACCUCGAGAUGUCGGCGGAAACCAUCUGGCUAGAGUCCGGAAGAGGAGAGUGGAAUUCCUGGUGUAGCGGUGAAAUGCGCAGAUAUCAGGAAGAACACCGGUGGCGAAGGCGGCAUCCUGGACCAACACUGACGCUGAGUGAGCGAAAGCCAGGGGAGCAAACGGG
rnacentral:rRNA from 1 species